rnacentral:rRNA from 1 species
GGGACACGUGGUAUCCUGUCUGAAUAUGGGGGGACCAUCCUCCAAGGCUAAAUACUCCUGACUGACCGAUAGUGAACCAGUACCGUGAGGGAAAGGCGAAAAGAACCCCGGCGAGGGGAGUGAAAAAGAACCUGAAACCGUGUACGUACAAGCAGUGGGAGCCUCUUAAUGGGGUGACUGCGUACCUUUUGUAUAAUGGGUCAGCGACUUAUAUUCUGUAGCAAGGUUAACCGAAUAGGGGAGCCGAAGGGAAACCGAGUCUUAACUGGGCGUUAAGUUGCAGGGUAUAGACCCGAAACCCGGUGAUCUAGCCAUGGGCAGGUUGAAGGUUGGGUAACACUAACUGGAGGACCGAACCGACUAAUGUUGAAAAAUUAGCGGAUGACUUGUGGCUGGGGGUGAAAGGCCAAUCAAACCGGGAGAUAGCUGGUUCUCCCCGAAAGCUAUUUAGGUAGCGCCUCGUGAAUUCAUCUCCGGGGGUAGAGCACUGUUUCGGCAAGGGGGUCAUCCCGACUUACCAACCCGAUGCAAACUGCGAAUACCGGAGAAUGUUAUCACGGGAGACACACGGCGGGUGCUAACGUCCGUCGUGAAGAGGGAAACAACCCAGACCGCCAGCUAAGGUCCCAAAGUCAUGGUUAAGUGGGAAACGAUGUGGGAAGGCCCAGACAGCCAGGAUGUUGGCUUAGAAGCAGCCAUCAUUUAAAGAAAGCGUAAUAGCUCACUGGUCGAGUCGGCCUGCGCGGAAGAUGUAACGGGGCUAAACCAUGCACCGAAGCUGCGGCAGCGACACUAUGUGUUGUUGGGUAGGGGAGCGUUCUGUAAGCCUGUGAAGGUGUACUGUGAGGUAUGCUGGAGGUAUCAGAAGUGCGAAUGCUGACAUAAGUAACGAUAAAGCGGGUGAAAAGCCCGCUCGCCGGAAGACCAAGGGUUCCUGUCCAACGUUAAUCGGGGCAGGGUGAGUCGACCCCUAAGGCGAGGCCGAAAGGCGUAGUCGAUGGGAAACAGGUUAAUAUUCCUGUACUUGGUGUUACUGCGAAGGGGGGACGGAGAAGGCUAUGUUGGCCGGGCGACGGUUGUCCCGGUUUAAGCGUGUAGGCUGGUUUUCCAGGCAAAUCCGGAAAAUCAAGGCUGAGGCGUGAUGACGAGGCACUACGGUGCUGAAGCGACAAAUGCCCUGCUUCCAGGAAAAGCCUCUAAGCAUCAGGUAACAUCAAAUCGUACCCCAAACCGACACAGGUGGUCAGGUAGAGAAUACCAAGGCGCUUGAGAGAACUCGGGUGAAGGAACUAGGCAAAAUGGUGCCGUAACUUCGGGAGAAGGCACGCUGAUAUGUAGGUGAAGCGACUUGCUCGUGGAGCUGAAAUCAGUCGAAGAUACCAGCUGGCUGCAACUGUUUAUUAAAAACACAGCA